UAGAAUGGUCAGGAGCGGGAGGAAAGAAGC
rnacentral:piRNA from 1 species